rnacentral:rRNA from 1 species
AUUGAACGCUGGCGGCAUGCCUUACACAUGCAAGUCGAACGGCAGCACGGGAGCAAGUCCUGGUGGCGAGUGGCGAACGGGUGAGUAAUGUAUCGGAACGUACCUUUCAGUGGGGGAUAACGUAGCGAAAGUUACGCUAAUACCGCAUAUUCUGUGCGCAGGAAAGCAGGGGAUCGCAAGACCUUGCGCUGAUUGAGCGGCCGAUAUCAGAUUAGCUAGUUGGUGGGGUAAAAGCUCACCAAGGCGACGAUCUGUAGCGGGUCUGAGAGGAUGAUCCGCCACACUGGAACUGAGACACGGUCCAGACUCCUACGGGAGGCAGCAGUGGGAAUUUUGGACAAUGGGGGCAACCCUGAUCCAGCCAUGCCGCGUGAGUGAAGAAGGCCUUCGGGUUGUAAAGCUCUUUCGGCCGGGAAGAAAUCGCAUCAGUUAAUACCUGGUGUGGAUGACGGUACCGGAAUAAGAAGCACCGGCUAACUACGUG